AGCGAACGCUGGCGGCAGGCUUAACACAUGCAAGUCGAGCGGGCACUUUCGGGUGUCAGCGGCGGACGGGUGAGUAACGCGUGGGAACGUGCCCUCUGGUUCGGAAUAACGCAGGGAAACUGGAGCUAAUACCGGAUACGCCCUUUUGGGGAAAGGCUUGCUGCCGGAGGAUCGGCCCGCGUCUGAUUAGCUAGUUGGUGAGGUAACGGCUCACCAAGUCGACGAUCAGUAGCUGGUCUGAGAGGAUGAUCAGCCACACUGGGACUGAGACACGGCCCAGACUCCUACGGGAGGCAGCAGUGGGGAAUAUUGGACAAUGGGCGCAAGCCUGAUCCAGCCAUGCCGCGUGAGUGAUGAAGGCCUUAGGGUUGUAAAGCUCUUUUAUCCGGGACGAUAAUGACGGUACCGGAGGAAUAAGCCCCGGCUAACUUCGUG
rnacentral:rRNA from 1 species